GGCGAGGAAACUCUGAGGCUUAGUACGGAGAGGAGACGAGCACGGCUGAACAGCAUCAGCAGGGCUGAUCUAACAGAGGCUAAAACCAAAAUAGCUUGUGUUUGCAGUAAUCAUUUUAUCUCAGUGACUGCAGAGAGUAGAAAAGGAGGGAGAGAGCGAAGAGAGGAUCUACCUCCCAACCCGAGCGAGGGUUGUUUGAAUCGAACAAACCAUGAAACUGAUAAAAGUUUCUUCAGGAUUCCCCGUGAACUAAUAAAAAGGUGAAUGAACGCAGGAUUUCACAAAAAGACGUUAAGAAAGGUGGCUUUUGAACCUCUCACUGAAAUCGAAGGGAGCCGAGUCGAAGCAUGAUCAAGUUUGCAGUG